GUCUAUGAUCAAACCAGGAAUGCACCUGAUCUCAUCAGAUCUCGGAAGCUAAGCAAGGUUGAGCCUCGAUUGUGUUUGGAUGGCUGGCAACCAUGUGUAACAGGUGCAAUAGGCU
rnacentral:rRNA from 1 species